GAAUAACCCCAACAGCACCUUCAACCUCUCUAUUGAUGCCGCUUCUGUCGCUGUAAUUCAAAGCAGUAUCCCAUCAAAUACCACAACAGCAGCGCCUGCGAAUGAAGCUCCCCGAAGAGUCGUUGUCCUCUCAGCUACUUUGCAACAAGCAUUCGUAAAACAACUCAAUGAUAAAAACAGCACGGAAUUCAGACAACUCGAGGCAACAGUUGUGACUGCGUGUGAUUCAAUCUACACGACCAGAUUCGGCGUCCUUU